rnacentral:lncRNA from 1 species
AUGUAUCUUCAUCUCCAUUCUCUCUCUGUUUCUCUUUCUCUCAUUCUCUCUCCGUCUAUCUGUCGCUCUGUCUCUCUUUCUCUCCCUCUCUCUCUGUCCUUCCAGAAAAUUCCCAGCGGGAUUCCCCUGCCCCCGGGCGUCCAACCACCCACUCGCCCACGGUCCCAGCCCAGCACAGCUGCUCCCGCCCCAGAGACUCCACCCCCAUCGUACUCCAACGCGACGCUGAGGAAUCAGGCCAGCGAAGACCCUCCCGUCUUCCUGCCGAACUCCGACAGCAUCGACCAGGAGGAUGUGCCUGACGGGGAGGAGCAGGUGGUGGUGAAGGUCCACUUCACGUACACCCUGGCUCUCAGCAUCAACCCCUAUGCCUCCUACAAGGAGCUCCAGGACAGGAUUGCCCGCAAGUUGGGCCAGCCGCCGACCAACCUCCGCCUCAGGCACCGAGCGUCUGGCUCCCAACUGCUCACGCCCCUUGAGCCAGGCAGCGGGUCGGGUGAGGAGUCGUACCCACUGCUGCCUGUGGUAGAGGAGGGGAGAGCUACUCUGUGGUGCCAGGUACACACACACACACACACACACACACACACACACACACACACACACACACACACACACACACACACACGUGUGUGUGUGAACACUCAGGAGAUAAUGUGA